ACUCACCAUUUUCGACCACCCCUUUUCUCCCUCACCUCUCACUUUCCUCCAUUAACAACCAUUGGAGAGACCUUCGGACCUUCCAAAAAUCAUACCAAACACAUCAAUCCACCCUUAAAUCUUCCAUAAACACCUCCUAGCUACUUGAAUUCAAGAGAAUCAUUGAAGAUUGGCUUCAAAGCUAGAGUGAGAAAGUGUGAAGUUUUGGUGUAAAGUUGGGCCCGAGCGAGACGAAGAAGUAAGUUGCCUGAUUUCUCUCCAGGAUUAGCGAAGGACUUCAGGCUAAGCGAGGAGCGAGAUUGGUCUGGUGCUGGUGGGGAAAGUUUCAAUCGAUGUAUUUUAAAUUUCCAUAUCGCCUUUAUGAUAUUAGAGUCUUGAUGUUUGAGAUACUUAGUUUUCUUUUGAAAUCAAGCAAUACACUCACGGUUAUGUGUCUUCAUACAUAUAAUCGGUUCGCAUUUUGCUGCGAUACUCUGCUUAUUAUUCUUCCUUAUGAAAAAUGAGCUAUACCUGUUUUGUUUUUA